CAGCAGCCGCGGUAAUACGUAGGGUGCGAGCGUUAAUCGGAUUUACUGGGCGUAAAGCGUGCGCAGGCGGCCCGUUAAGACAGGUGUGAAAUCCCUGGGCUCAACCUAGGAAUUGCGCUUGUGACUGGCGGGCUCGAGUACGGUAGAGGGGGGUGGAAUUCCUGGUGUAGCAGUGAAAUGCGUAGAGAUCAGGAGGAACACCGAUGGCGAAGGCAGCCCCCUGGGCCUGUACUGACGCUCAUGCACGAAAGCGUGGGGAGCAAACAGGAUUAGAUACCCUGGUAGUCCACGCCCUAAACGAUGGGUACUAGCCGUUUGGUGCGCGAUAGCGCUGAGUGGCGAAGCUAACGCGUGAAGUACCCCGCCUGGGGAGUACGGCCGCAAGGUUGAAACUUAAAGGAAUUGGGGG
rnacentral:rRNA from 1 species